CGGUUUUGUAAAUGAGCUAUGGGUAUUUCCCAUCAUAUGAUGUCACUUCGUUGCCAAAUUUAUAAUCGCAGUACCUAAUCAAAAGUUGGACGAUGUUGUCGAUGUUAGUGUUUCGUGGUGAAAAAAGCUACUUAAUUGUUUCAUGUUUGCAAGCAUCACUUUAUGAGCAGUUGAAAUCCGCAUAAAUUGUCUUUUCACAUCGUGAUGUCCCUUCGUUGGCAAAUUUGUAACCGCAGUACCUAAUCAAAGGUUGGACUAUGUUACUGUUUCGUGGUGAAAGGAGCUACCUAAGUAAUUGUUUCAUGUUUGCAAGCAUCACUUUACGAGUAGUUGAAAUCCGCAUAAGUUGAUGAAAAAUAAAUUUACAUCAUGGAAAAUGAAGAAGUACUGACAUACAUAUUUGGGUUCAUAUGUUCCAUUCUAUCCAUAUUCUCGACAAUAUGCGUCAUCAUUCAUUUGUACAAGUUUUUCAAGAUUACAGGACCACAAAGUCUGUCAACGAAGAACCUUACUUUUUACUGUUUUUCACUGUUGCUCAUCUACAUCCCAACAUAUACAUAUGUGAUUGGAUACGUAAUGUCUUUCCAUUAUAGAACGCAGGACUAUUUGGCGUUCAUUCUUAUAUAUAUGACAGUGACGACGUCGUUUAUUAAAUUCAUUAUUGCAUUGGAUCUAUUCGUGUGUUUUCGCAAAGUUGCCAUCCACCUGAGAAGCCCUUCUUCAUCGGCUGCUCAAAAUAUAAAAUUCCUUGUAUACUGUAUUUUCGGUACGAGUGUUCCCAUACUUUAUGCAUCAAUUUUUACAAUGUUAUUUGGUCAGAGAAAUGAAUAUAUGUACUCAUAUUUCGGGCCAUUUGCGAUAAAGAGGUAUAUUUGCACCGCUCGAUUAUUUUUGAUUAUCGGUGCGUUUUGGUACAUCAGAUUGGCCAGUUUGAAUAAAAAGGAUUUGUGGUCAAAAUAUGGCCUACAUAUCCGUUUGCUUACGAUGCUUGGUGGAUUCUCGGCUGUAAUAAGCAUCGGCGAAAUCAUAUCACUGAUGCGCAGUGGUGACGACGAAAUGUUUUUUCUUGGAUUUUUCUUUUUAUUAAAUUUUUUUGGGUGUACUCUAGAAGGAAUAGUUAUUGGAGUACUAUUCACAUUCAGAAAAUCAACAUUUCAGCCAGCUAUGUCUCCAGUUAGACCCGAUCAACAAACAGUUCCAUAGGUUAACAAAUUUUAGACAAAUGAAAUUUUACUAUGCUUAUAAUAAUUCGAUAAUCAUAAUACGUAUGUACUACCUAUCUGCAUAGGAUGUAAGGUUUACACUAGAUAAGCUCUAAUUAAUAAUCAAUUGUUGAUGUAGUAAGUACAAUGUAAUAAUAUGCAUGUAUGUAGAGCACUUUCAAUUAAAAACUUAAUUUUAAA